rnacentral:tRNA from 1 species
GUUUUAAUAGUUUAAAUAAAACAUUGGUCUUGUAAACCAAAAUUAAGAUAUCUUUUAAAACU